GUGGGCGUGGCCAAGUGGUCCAAGGCGUCCGGUUGCAACCCGGAAGAUGGCGAGUUCGAAUCUCGCCGCCCACU
rnacentral:tRNA from 1 species